rnacentral:lncRNA from 1 species
AUAAUAUAAUAUUAUAUUUUCCAGAAUUUCGAAGCACUUAAAUAAUUCAAAACUAAAAUCAUUUUGUGUCACAUCAAGGCUUAACUUUAAAUAAACUCCCUUAGCAUUUAAUUAAACAUACUUUAGAUUAAACAAACAUCUUAAUCUAAAUCAUAAUUAAAUCAACUAAAUUAACCACCUAAGCUUAAUCAACUUAAGCUAAGCACACCUAAAGCAUAAUUAACCCUCUAAGCGAGAUUUAGUGAGCUAAACUCACCGGAUUAGCGAGCCGAGCGGACCAAAACGACGAGCACGACGCGAGGAUCGACUUUCCUCAAAGCGGACCGAGCAUCCGAGCUCGGGAAGGCGGCCAAAACGAGCCAAACGUCCGCUGCAUACCCAUUUUCCAACUCUCUGCUCGCUGCUGGUUGGGGCCGAAAAUGAGCAGAUCCGGGGCUGGUUGGGGUCGGGAGUGGGCGGAGGAGCUAUGGCGGUGGCUGGUGGCGACGAACGGCGGUGCACGGCGGCGACGAACGAGCUCCGGCAGCUCUUGCGCGAGCUGAACAGCAGCUUGGGACGACGAGCUGGGCAAAGCGGGCGGAGCGGCGCGCGAGCGCGGGCUUCACGCGGACGACGAUGGUAGCGGCGAGCUUCGGCGACGGGCCGACGGCGAUUCGGCUGGGCUACAGCCAGCUUCGACACCUCCUCAGAUCUGCUGGGUUUUCAAGCAGAAACCGGAGCCGGAGAAGAGAGGAGAGAGGGCGACGGUGGCGCGGCCGGUGGUGCGGGCGGACGGCGAGCAGCUUGGCGGUGCAAACGGCGACGAAGGAGGCGGACGGCGAGGGGCUGCCUCGGCUUCUUCCUCUGCAAUUUUUCUGGUCUUUCGCACAAAGAAGAUGGAGAAGAAGCCAACGGAAGGGAGAGAGGAAGGAGAGAGAAGGAGGAGAGAGAGAGAUGGGACCAUUUUUUCUUUUCUCUUUCUUUUUCUUUAAUCCCACCAAAUGGCCCACCAUGACCUAGGAUGACAUCACACUCCACUAUCUCCCACAACCUCUUCCAAUGGGUUCACUUGCAAUUUCCGCCCGGGUCCAAUUCUUGUACAUCAAAUUCUUCAAUUAUAAUCAAUCCACUUCCAAUUGAGUCCAAAUUAAAAUCCAUACAAUUAAUCCAAUGUCACCGUGCUUCAAUUCACAUCUUCACUUGUCCAUAGGACCAACUUAAGUCCCAAAAGCGCGACCAAAAGCGGCCUACUAAUUUCUCGAGCCAAAUUAGCCAUAUCUUGGUUAAUUUGCCGAAAAACUCGGCUUGCAUGAAAAAUCUUCUGAAGAUUAGUCAAUAUUCCUAAAAUGAUUUGUGACACACCCAGACUUCCAAUUUCUGAAUUUAAUCUCAAUUUCACGGUAAAUUUCACUUUGGCACGAUACUAGCGCGGCCCAACCUACCGGGUAGCCUUUAGAAAUUUUCAUGCAUUUGACCUGUGGUUGAUCAUCUCAAGCCACAAUGUACAUCUUUGAAACAUUUGCGACUUUCGGUUGUCGAGGAAAUCUCAAGGUUUCAAAUACGAACACAGGGUACCCAAUCGACAGAAAAGUCGGUCCAGUGCCGAUCAACAAGAAUUGUGCGAUCUGGUGGAAUCACCCACACCUGAUCACAUGCCUCUGUCGAGUCGACCUAUCUCCGAUCUCUAAUCGAUUUUUAAUUGUGCCGUAAUGACCCUUGCAGAUUAACUCGGUCGAAAGAUCACUUCCUGGUCAAAUUCUCGAGUCUGAUGCAUUGGAAACUCUUAACAGCUUCACCCGAUAGACUAGUUUCCACAUGAGUGGCCGACUCAAGGAAAAGAACUAUAUGUGUGCCAACGAAAUGCCCGCCUCAAUUUAUUGAAAAUAGAAUUGGAAAAAUCGGGAUGUCACAACUCUUCCCCUCUUAUAAAAAUUUCGUCCUCGAAAUUUAAACCUUUACCAAUUCUUAAACGAGAAGGUGGGGGUACAGUCGUCUCAUCUAUUAUUCUCUUUCUCAGGUUGCUCCUUCUGCACCAAUACUGCAAGAUCACUGCUAUCUUGCCCAAACCACUUCAGAUUCAAAAUACUAAACACUUGCCCCCUUAAAAUUCCAACGGUCUCCAACACAAAAUCUACGAAGCUAAAUUGGCGAUUCUAAGCAGUCUCUAAACUAUCUCUGAUAACUGCGAUUGAAUCACUGAUUCUAAACCAACUUUGGACCUGCGAUUUUCUAAUAUCUGAUAUCAUCUCAACAACUGAAGUUCUGAACCCUCUGCUCUACACUGACAAAAAGGAAACUAUUUGACUGAUCUGCUAAAACUAGGGACCUCUGGUCAAAAUCUGAUAUAACUCUGACACUGAUCUCGGCAAUUGCAAUCACUAACCACUGUACUGACCCUGACCUAAUCUUUCUCUCCCUGACUUCAUCUCAGCAAUUGAAAUUUUGCACUCUCUGAUAUACACUGCUUAAGAAAGAACCAUCUGAAAGCUCUGCCAACUUGGAACAUCUAAUCUAGAUUUGAAAUACAAUUCAUCCCCGGCACUCCAUGCAGAUGAAUUAUAUGAUAUACACACACUUCGGUAUACCCACUUUGUGACAAAACAGAAUCUCCAAUUUCUGAAAUCGAAUUUAGAUUGGCGGUUAAUUUCACUCAGACACGCUUUUAGUGUGACAUAGGCUACUAGGUAGUUUUCGGAGCUUCUUAGGACAAAUGACCCGUGGCCGAUUUUCUCGAGCCACGAUGAACCCACUCGACACAUUGGUGACUCUCGAGGGUCGUGAAAAUCUCGAUGAUUCAAAUACGGACACAGGGUACCAAAACGACAGUAAUAUCAAAUUAGUAUCAGUCAAUGAGAGUUUUCCAAUUUAGUGGAGUCACCCACGAUCGGUCAUUCAUCUCAGUCGAACCGACCUAUCUCUGAUCUUAAUUCGUUAACUGUGCUGUAUUGAUCUCUAAAGAUGAGCACGGUCGAGAAGUCGAUUCCUGGUCGAAUUGUCAAGUCUAUUUUCCUUAAGUCCUUAAUAACUCACCCAACUAGUUUAGUUAUCUCGCAAGUGGCCAACUCAGAGAAAAACACUGUAAUCGCGUCGAUGAAAUGCCCAAUUCAACCAAUCGAAAUCAGAGUCUGAAAAUCAACCUCUCUCUCAUCUGCAUUCUCUUAUAGAGUCUUUUGAAUUUCUAAAUCUGUCCACUAAAGCGAUUUGAUUCUGAUCUGAACUUUCGUCUCAAUUCUGAGGGUAGUCUUAAGAUUCAAAGGUGGCUUACCUUAAAUUUGAAAAUCGAAUUUCGAACUUAAAUAAGAUCCAAUCCUUAAGUACCAACUGUGCAACUAAGGACUCUCGACUCAAUGCACUUGUGACUUUGCUCACAUUUCUAAAGUGAUACAAAAUGUCAUAGUCAUAAUCCUUAAUGGGUUCCAUCCUGCGACGCUGUCUCAUAUUCAACUCCCGGGGUCUCAACUGACGGGAUGCCUAUGCAACAACCCUAUCUUGCUGCAUCAACAAGCAACCAAAUCCUUUAAACGACACAUCAUUGCAGAUCUCAUAACUUUCAGGACCAGAUGGAAUGGUAAGCACAUGUGCGGUAGUCAGCCUCUUCUUAGGCCCUUGAAAACUACGCUCGCACUAAUCUGUCCACACAAACUUUUCUUACUUCCUUAGUAGUCGAAUCAACUACAACGCUGACGCUGAAAUCCCUUCCUCAAAACUUCUGUAAUAUCCUGCUAAUCCCCAGAAACUUCUAAUCUUUGUCACUAUCGUCAAUCUCGGCUAACUAUUCACUGCUUCAAUCUUGGAUGGGGUCUACGGAGAUUUCUUCGCCUGAAAUCAUGUGACCUAAGAACGCAAUACGAGUCAUCCAAAACUCACACUUGCUAAGUUUAUCGUAAAAUCCAAAAGCACUCAAGGUCUGAAGUACCAUCCCCGAAUGUCUCUCGUGCUCCUCAGAACUCUUUGAACACACUAGGAUAACUUCAACGAACACGAUCAAGAUUGAUUCAAGUAUCCUUAAACAUUCUGCUCAUUAGACCCAAACAAAUAGCUAUGGUGUCCAUCAAACCAUACGGUAUUACAGCUAACUCAUAACUACCAUAUCAAGUACGAGAUGCUAACUUCGGUGUGUCUUUCUUCCUGAUCCUCAACUGAUGAUACCCUGACCUCAAGUCGAUCUUGAGGAAUCUCGAUACACUAACACAACGAACCAACUUUCUUCUUCAUGAAUAGAACUAGUGCUCCCCAAGGUGAUACACUGGACGUAUGAAUCCCCUAUUCAACACUUCCUGCAUCUACACCUUCAGUUCUUUUAACUCGGGUAACACCAUCCGGUAAAGAGCCUUAGGGACUGGCUCUGUUUCAGUUGCUGAUUCGAUCGCAAACUCUAUUUCUCUUUCUGACUGCAAACCUGACAAUUCUCUAGAAAAUACCUUAGCAAACUCCUGAACCACGAUUAUGUUCUCCAUAUUCGACUCCUCAACUGACGCAUUCAUUACAGUUGCCAAGUAGAUCCAACAACCAACAACCUGGACCAAGUCAUCUUCAAUGACGAAUAACAAUGAUCGAAGUUCCUCUUCGACUUUCAGUGAUUCAAAACUUUCGCACGUUAACUGAACAAACUGAAUUACAUCACUAGCACGAUUCAGAACAACAAAAAGCUCCUUGAGCCAAACCCUUUCAUAAAUGACUUCCAAGUCAUACAUGAGCAAACCCUUCAAGUACAACUAUAGUCAGAGACUCAUCUUUCUAUCACUUUAUUACCACAACGAAAAUCUUAUAACCUUCAUUGAAAAUUCUGCUGCACUACUAUGAUAAAAUUCCCUCAAGAACAUUUUCCCCUUGACUAAUGCAUGGUCAACCCAUUCAUGCUCUUCUAGCCAUCCUAGUGGCGUCCUAUCUGCAGUAACAGUGCUUACAUUCUCCUGAACUUACACGGAUAGUUCCUAACCUGAUGGUCGUGCUGGCCACAUUCAAAUCAUGUUUCCCUUUUUACUCUGACACUGGGCUGACUCGAGCCUCCUUUCCACAAACUCGACACACGAUCAGUGAGUCCUCUAUCUCUCAUCAAGUGACAUCAUGCACCAUUCCUUGCACUGGGGUCUAUUCCAAGUACCCCACUAAAUGUCCCGAAGCAUGUUUCUCCUGUUCUGUCUUAUCAACGACGAUGCAGAAACAGCUAUAGUUCCAUCCAUCUAUACGAGCCCUUUGAUCAAAUGGCUUUACUGGCGACACCUACAACAAGUCAUUUCCCUCUUACAGCACAGAACAUAUCCAUGUCUUUGACACGCAUCGAUCGAGUUGAGCACUGACUUUCCAACUCCACUCUUUCAGUUGGGUGAAACAGGGCAUCUUUCUUCUGACAUCGGCCUUUCUCCCCAACCUAUUUUUCAUCUCUGUCUAAAUUGAACCUUGACUCAGAUACGGAGACUUGAUCCUCGAUCACAACUCCAGAUUAGGCCUCAACAGGCACGACAACAACAACGGUCACAACGCUGGAAGCGGUAGAAACAACGGCAACAGCGGCAGCUCAAUCCUGAACUUAUCGACCCAACAAGCUUCCAAGAAGCACUAGCGCCUGAACGAUCCCAUCAAAACUAGGAUCGCUCGGUGCUGCUACACUCUUAAUACCGACUUGCAGCGGUACUCUCACACUCGCACUGGUCUAAGCCUGCGCUCUACCUCGGGUACCGACUCUUAUCAGCAUCCUACCCCGAGGUAUAGGUCCUCCCGACCUUCACCAAAGAGUCCUCCACUCCUGGUCACUCAUCCUACAGGCUCUUUAUAGACGCCUGCUUUUCGAUUCCAACAUCAGGUUGAAAUUUGAGCGACCCCACAAACAAGCUACCAAACAACUAUCAACCACAUGCAUCAGCAUAUUAAAAGCCUUUCCUACUAACUAUCCCAUGACUCAUCGCACCUUAUUACUCCAUACUCAAACCAUGCUCUGAUACCACUUAAACGGGGAUGUCACGCCCCGAACCCCGAGCGCGCGCACAUCCCACUGCGGUCGAUCAAAAAUGCGACAUCCCAGGAUAUGUCGCCGACCCAUUCAUUUAUUUACGCAUGCAGAAGCGAAACGAACCCCCUGACAAUAAAAUACGGGAUAGAAAAGCAGGGAGCAAAACCACAACAUAACACUUCCAUAAUUCAACAGAAUUACAAACAGAGGUCUACGGCCAAAAGUCUACAAAAGACCGGCUCUUAAAAUGAAUUGUCCUACGACCUACAAGUCGGACACGUUCUCAAAUCUUAUGACUUCACCUCUGCAACUCCUCAAUGCCAACCAAAGCUAUCUGGCCGCUCCGUUCACCGGGGACCUGAAAUGGUUAUUCAAUAACCACUGAGACAACGUCUCAGCAAGUUCAACCCCCUAAACCCCUAUUAGAAAGAAAAUACGCCCAAGGGUGGCCUAGCCACAUCACACAGAAGACUUACCUCGCCUCAGCCUUCAUCUGCAGGUUAGCACAAUUUAUAUAAUUCAACCACGUACAAUUAUGAUAACCAAACAACCAUGGCUCAAUCACAUUAUCAAAACAAUUCAACCACUUGGAUCGUCUCAACGAUCAAUCGACUCGGCCGAUUACAGGUCAUUCUAGCAAAUCAAUCAUUGCUCACAAUCACGGCCCACUAGGCCAACAUUAGAAUCAGUGGCAUCACGGCCCCACUCGGCGCGACCUUUAACAGGUGGCAAUUCACGGCCCCACUGGGCGCGACCUUUAUCAGGUGGCAUAUCACGGCCCCAUCGGGCGCGACCUCUAAUAGGUGGCAUAUAACGGCCCCAUCGAGCGCGACCUCUAAUAGGUGGCAUAUCACGGCCCCAUCGGGCGCGACCUCUAAUAGGUGGCAUAUCACGGCCCCAUCGGGCGCGACCUCUAGUAGGUGGCAUAUAACGGCCCCAUCGGGCGCGACCUCUAGUAGGUGGCAUAUCACGGCCCCAUCGGGCGCGACCUCUAGUAGGUGGCAUAUCACGGCCAAUCGCCCAUCAAUUUCCACACUUAGAAAUUUAUAAAGAAUCCAUAUAUAUCGAAAUCACAUUCAAUUCGCCACAACCAAUCAUAAAUAUCAAAUUCUAAAUGCACAGCAGCGAUCGGCACGAAAUUCUGAGCAACCGGGGUCAAAAAUAAUUUUUCUGAUUUUUUUUUUAUAAAAAUAAUAUUUUAAUAAUUUCGGAUUAUAAUAUAAUAUUAUAUUUUCCAGAAUUUCGAAGCACUUAAAUAAUUCAAAACUAAAAUCAUUUUGUGUCACAUCAAGGCUUAACUUUAAAUAAACUCCCUUAGCAUUUAAUUAAACAUACUUUAGAUUAAACAAACAUCUUAAUCUAAAUCAUAAUUAAAUCAACUAAAUUAACCACCUAAGCUUAAUCAACUUAAGCUAAGCACACCUAAAGCAUAAUUAACCCUCUAAGCGAGGUUUAGUGAGCUAAACUCACCGGAUUAGCGAGCCGAGCGGACCAAAACGACGAGCACGACGCGAGGAUCGACUUUCCUCAAAGCGGGCCGAGCAUCCGAGCUCGGGAAGGCGGCCAAAACGAGCCAAACGUCCGCUGCAUACCCAUUUUCCAACUCUCUGCUCACUGCUGGUUGGGGCCGAAAAUGAGCAGAUCCGGGGCUGGUUGGGGUCGGGAGUGGGCGGAGGAGCUAUGGCGGUGGCUGGUGGCGACGAACGGCGGUGCACGGCGGCGACGAACGAGCUCCGGCAGCUCUUGCGCGAGCUGAACAGCAGCUUGGGACGACGAGCUGGGCAAAGCGGGCGGAGCGGCGCCCGGGCGCGGGCUUCACGCGGACGACGAUGGUAGCGGCGAGCUUCGGCGACGGGCCGACGGCGAUUCGGCUGGGCUACAGCCCGCUUCGACACCUCCUCAGAUCUGCUGGGUUUUCAAGCAGAAACCGGAGCCGGAGAAGAGAGGAGAGAGGGCGACGGUGGCGCGGCCGGUGGUGCGGGCGGACGGCGAGCAGCUUGGCGGUGCAAACGGCGGCGAAGGAGGCGGACGGCGAGGGGCUACCUCGGCUUCUUCCUCUGCAAUUUUUCUGGUCUUUCGCACAAAGAAGAUGGAGGAGAAGCCAACGGAAGGGAGAGAGGAAGGAGAGAGAAGGAGGAGAGAGAGAGAU